rnacentral:rRNA from 1 species
GACGAACGCUGGCGGCGUGCUUAACACAUGCAAGUCGAACGGAAAGGCCCUGCUUUCGUGGGGUGCUCGAGUGGCGAACGGGUGAGUAACACGUGAGUAACCUGCCCUUGACUUUGGGAUAACUUCAGGAAACUGGUGCUAAUACCGGAUAGGAGCUCCUGCUGCAUGGUGGGGGUUGGAAAGUUUCGGCGGUUGGGGAUGUACUCGCGGCUUAUCAGCUUGUUUGUGGGGUAGUGGCUUACCAAGGCUUUGACGGGUAGCCGGCCUGUGCGGGUGACCGGGCACAUUGGGACUUAGAUAAGGCCCAGACGCCUAAGGGAGGCAGCAGUGGGGAAUAUUGCAGAAUGGGCGGAAGCCUGAUGCAGCAACGCCGCGUGCGGGAUGACGGCCGUCGGGUUGUAAACCGCUUUCGCCUGUGACGAAGCGUGAGUGACGGUAAUGGGUAAAGAAGCACCGGCUAACUACGUG